CCUACGGGAGGCAGCAGUGAGGAAUAUUGGUCAAUGGGCGCGAGCCUGAACCAGCCAAGUAGCGUGAAGGAUGACUGCCCUACGGGUUGUAAACUUCUUUUAUAAAGGAAUAAAGUGAGGCACGUGUGCCUUUUUGUAUGUACUUUAUGAAUAAGGACUGGCGUACUCCGUGACAGCAGCCGCGGUAAUACGGAGGAUCCGAGCGUUAUCCGGAUUUAUUGGGUUUAAAGGGAGCGUAGAUGGGUUGUUAAGUUCAUUGUGAAAGUUUGCGGUUCAAACAUAAGAAUGCAAUUGAUACUGGCAGCCUUGAGUACAGGUGAGGUAGGCGGAAUUCGUGGUGUAGCGGUGAAAUGCUUAGAUAUCACGAAGAACUCCGAUUGCGAAGGCAGCCUACUAAACUGCCACUGACAUUGAUGCUCGAAAGUGUGGGUAUCAAACAGGAUUAGAUACCCGAGUAGUC
rnacentral:rRNA from 1 species